GACGAACGCUGGCGGCGUGCUUAACACAUGCAAGUCGAACGGAAAGGCCCUGCUUUUGUGGGGUGCUCGAGUGGCGAACGGGUGAGUAACACGUGAGUAACCUGCCCUUGACUUUGGGAUAACUUCAGGAAACUGGGGCUAAUACCGGAUAGGAGCUCCUGCUGCAUGGUGAGGGUUGGAAAGUUUCGGCGGUUGGGGAUGGACUCGCGGCUUAUCAGCUUGUUGGUGGGGUAGUGGCUUACCAAGGCUUUGACGGGUAGCCGGCCUGAGAGGGUGACCGGCCACAUUGGGACUGAGAUACGGCCCAGACUCCUACGGGAGGCAGCAGUGGGGAAUAUUGCACAAUGGGCGGAAGCCUGAUGCAGCAACGCCGCGUGCGGGAUGACGGCCUUCGGGUUGUAAACCGCUUUCGCCUGUGACGAAGCGUGAGUGACGGUAAUGGGUAAAGAAGCACCGGCUAACUACGUGCCAGCAGCCGCGGUGAUACGUAGGGUGCGAGCGUUGUCCGGAUUUAUUGGGCGUAAAGGGCUCGUAGGUGGUUGAUCGCGUCGGAAGUGUAAUCUUGGGGCUUAACCCUGAGCGUGCUUUCGAUACGGGUUGACUUGAGGAAGGUAGGGGAGAAUGGAAUUCCUGGUGGAGCGGUGGAAUGCGCAGAUAUCAGGAGGAACACCAGUGGCGAAGGCGGUUCUCUGGGCCUUUCCUGACGCUGAGGAGCGAAAGCGUGGGGAGCGAACAGGCUUAGAUACCCUGGUAGUCCACGCUGUAAACGGUGGGUACUAGGUGUGGGGUCCAUUCCACGGGUUCCGUGCCGUAGCUAACGCUUUAAGUACCCCGCCUGGGGAGUACGGCCGCAAGGCUAAAACUCAAAGGAAUUGACGGGGCCUCGCACAAGCGGCGGAGCAUGCGGAUUAAUUCGAUGCAACGCGUAGAACCUUACCUGGGUUUGACAUGGAUCGGGAGUGCUCAGAGAUGGGUGUGCCUCUUUUGGGGUCGGUUCACAGGUGGUGCAUGGCUGUCGUCAGCUCGUGUCGUGAGAUGUUGGGUUAAGUCCCGCAACGAGCGCAACCCUUGUUCACUGUUGCCAGCACGUUAUGGUGGGGACUCAGUGGAGACCGCCGGGGUCAACUCGGAGGAAGGUGGGGAUGACGUCAAGUCAUCAUGCCCCUUAUGUCCAGGGCUUCACGCAUGCUACAAUGGCUGGUACAGAGAGUGGCGAGCCUGUGAGGGUGAGCGAAUCUCGGAAAGCCGGUCUCAGUUCGGAUUGGGGUCUGCAACUCGACCUCAUGAAGUCGGAGUCGCUAGUAAUCGCAGAUCAGCAACGCUGCGGUGAAUACGUUCCCGGGGCU
rnacentral:rRNA from 1 species